rnacentral:misc_RNA from 1 species
GACAACUAGAACAUUUUGUAUUAAAAUAAUAUCAUUGAUAAUCUCUUGUCACAGCAUUGUUUGAAACAAACAAGCACCAAUUAUCAUCUAGAUUAUAGGAAGUCAAAAAAUGAAAUUUAAAAUAUAAUCUUAAACAAUCAUUGAUUAAACAAAUUAUUCAAAAUAAAGAAAUCCCCAGAGGCAAAAAAUUGUGGAACGAAGCCUGCGUGCAUUGCCUUGGAUUUUGUCUACCGCCUCAGCGUGUGCAGAAUGUACUCAGCAUAAAGGUCCAUGGAGUACUGGAUGGCAUCAACAGCAUGGUUUGAAGGCAAGAACUCAUUAACUGCAACCUCUUUGUUCUCAUUUUUCUUGUCUGUGUAAAUAUGUUAAGAAACCAGCAUUCCACACAUUGUGAACACAACUCAACGAAAAUAUUUUGAGAAAAGUAAAACUGGCCAAUUUAAGGGUGAAAAGGAUACAAUCUUCAAAGAAACGACGGAUCUCAGAAAGGCGAUGAGGAGCCAACUGUUUGAUAUCAGUGUAAUGCUUGUACUCUGGAUCAUCAGCACAAACUGCAAUGAUUUUGUCAUCUUUCUCUCCCUGAAUUAGAAGUAGUUAGACCACUAAAUAAGGGAAAGAAGUCACGCUGCUUCCUUUUAAUUUAGAAUUCUGGAGUCACCUCACCUGGUCAAUCAUAGGCAUAAGUCCAAUGGCCCUGGCUCGUAGAAAGCAACCAGGAAGGACAGGCUCCUAUUUACAUACACAAUUCAGGCGGAUCACAAUGUCAAAAUGAAAGCUCUCACAUAGUGCAAGUAGGAUCAAAGGACUAAAUUGCAACAUAAUCAAAGUACACAAUCCAAGACUCAAUCUUAUACUGAAUAAAUGUAACUCACCUGCAUGAGAACCAAUACAUCUAAGGGAUCAUUAUCUUCACACAAUGUGCGAGGUAUGAAACCGUAGUUAUGAGGAUAGACCACUGAUGAGUACAAAAUCCGAUCAACCUAUGUAUUUGAGCACAAGAGAAAAAUGCUGAGAAAGACACAGAGAAUGGGGCUUUGAGAAAUUAAAUUGUACAUGAAGUACACUUCUAUACACAGCUCAGAGAACACCCUCACUCUGCAGCCUGGGACCAGAAACUCUAAAGUUUGAUAGAUAUAAUAUUAAUUGUUCAUACCUUAAUAAGUCCUGUCUUCUUGUCUAGUUCAUAUUUGACCUUACUUCCCUUUGUUAUCUCAACAACAACAUUGAAGAUGGUAGGAGCUCCAGGUCCGAUCUCAAGAUCAUGCCAAGGAUGUGCAGCAACAGUUCUCUUCGACAUAGAUGAAAGGAUCCUCUCAUUCAGUCUGGGUGUACUUCUAUUUUCACUUCCAUUGGUUUCUUCAGCCAUCUUUAACUAAAAGAAAUAAAACUCUCUGAAGUUUGAUAAUUUAUUAUUGAACUCACAAAAAUUUAAUCAGUUCAGCUUUGCUUGAGCUCAAUUAGAGGCAAGUGUGUCAUAAUAGGCAAACUUACAAAGAUUAGAAUUGAAACAAGAAUAAAGUAGAACCAAAAGUAAUCAAGAAAAUGCAGAUCAGGGAUCGCCAUUAAGCGAAGUCCCAAAAUCAAAGCAUCAUUAUAGCUAAUCACUUAAAUGCUGAUCCUUCAACAUCAAAGACAUCAUUUUUUGAAAAGACAUUUGAGAAUUCGAACCUGCCUUUGUUAUCAAAUGUUAAAACAGCAGAAAAAAAAGGGAAUCUCCUGAAAAUUAGCAUGACUUCGUAUUUAAAGGGAUUUUCUGGGUAAAAAAAUCUAUCAUCGAUAAAACAAUCUACCAAAGCCAUUUUGACAUUAUCCAUAAAAGCAGUGCUUUGAAUCCAAGCGAAAAUUGAACCAAAAGUUGCAAAAGAGAUACAAGUUUACUAGAACAACAUGUGAAAGCUGAUGGGACAUGUGCCUAUGCACGAAAACCCAGAAAAGAAAAAGAUUAAAACUUUACCAUGCGAUUUACGAAAGCAUGAACCUUUAACUUGAAUGGAUAAAAGAAUAAAGAAAAAACUUAUAUACCUGAUUGAUUGACGAAAGUAACGUAUGAAGACUAGAAUGAAAAGGAGGGGAGGCAAUGAUCCGAGUCCUGCGAUGGGUGUGUCUAUAUAUAGAGAAAUUUUAGAAUACUAGUGGGGGAAAGGUUGUGGGUCAAAUCUUGGAUUAGCUGCCUCGUGUCUGAUGUGGAGCGAACGUAGCAUACAC